rnacentral:ncRNA from 1 species
UCGCAUACCUCGGGGGGCCCGGCACCGGGCUGAGACGCGAUUCGCGGACCCGUUGAACCUGAUCCGGUUAGCGCCGGCGGAGGGAAGGUUUCGCUGUCCUUU